UACGAAGGGUGCAAGCGUUAUUCGGAAUUACUGGGCGUAAAGCGUGCGCAGGCGGUUAUAUAAGACAGUUGUGAAAUCCCCGGGCUCAACCUGGGAACUGCAUCUGUGACUGUAUAGCUAGAGUACGGUAGAGGGGGAUGGAAUUCCGCGUGUAGCAGUGAAAUGCGUAGAUAUGUGGAGGAACACCGAUGGCGAAGGCAGCCCCCUGGGUCAAGACUGACGCUCAUGCACGAAAGCGUGGGGAGCAAACAGG
rnacentral:rRNA from 1 species